rnacentral:lncRNA from 1 species
AUUCUCUCUUUAUUGAUAAUAGGCAAAAACGUGAGCUACAAUGGCUGCAAUGGACCUUAUUAAUAUGUCGACAGCCUCGACCUUCUAGGGUCUUGAAAAAGAGAAUAAAAGGCAACAAAUAAUUGAGAAAUAAAUGACAAAAAUAAAUCUAGACUAAUUUCAACCAACCUGCAAAAGAAAAGAAAAUUUGACAUUUAAUUGAAAAGAUUUAAACGCAUACCUUAGCUUGGGGAGGAAGCUCUCGGCCUUGGGACGUCUUCCUCGUACGUUUCCUUAAGUGGCGUCGUUUGGUGUGAUGACAAAGAGAACUUGGGCUUGACUUGUCUUGAGAAGAGGCCUUUCACUUGUUGGUUCAUAAAAGCUUGGGCCAACACUUAAGUCUAGACUCUUAACCUUUGUUUGUUGCUCCUCCUUGGCCUCUCUUUCUUCUUGUUUAAGCUUAUUGCUACAAAGGGUGAGAUUAUCGAAUUGUGUGAUGGUGUUCUCCAUUUCUUUAUAGCUUAUCAAACUCUCCACAGCUUUGUUGAAUUCUUCCCGCAUUGUCUUUGUACCGGACCUUGUUCUAGGUGGUUGGUACAUAGUCGGAACCCG